CCUAUUCAUCGCGGGUUGGUUAUUCGUCAGCACAGGUUUAGCUUAUGAUGUGUUUGGAAGUUGGUGACCUGAUGACAGGGGAGCCGGCGAACGAAGCCCCGGUGAACGGCGGCCGUAACUAUAACGGUCCUAAGGUAGCGAAAUUCCUUGUCGGGUAAGUUCCGACCCGCACGAAAGG
rnacentral:ncRNA from 1 species